rnacentral:misc_RNA from 1 species
GUGAAUCAUCGAAUUUUUGAACGCAAAUUGCACUUUCUGGUGUUCCGGAAAGUAUGCCUGUGUGAGUGUCAGUUAAAUAAGGAUCGUUGUUUUUGCUGCCUUUCGUGGUGACGCGUCGAUAUUGGGUCGUCUUACCUUCGGUUAGGUGACUUAAAAUUUUUGCAUGCGUUUCGAACGUGUUUAAAUAUCUUACUUACGUUUCAUAUAUCG